rnacentral:SRP_RNA from 1 species
AAGUGGACUAGGUCGGGCGGUUAGGCCCCGCUCACAACCCGCGCUAUGGUCUUUAGCGGGGACCGAAGCCGGGGUGCGUCUGGCCCAACCAGUGCGGGCCCCGCAAGCCAACGUCGAAGCCUCGUCCUACGAGGGCAGCGGUCCGCCGACCGGCGUCUGCAGGGACGUUCGGUCGCGGUUAACCACGGGCAAUCCGUCAGGCACGGAAGUGAGCAGCGGACCCGUGGACAGCUGUCGCCCGUAGGGUCGCGGGGUGGAGGAGGCACGCGGGACUCCCCGUAUUGGACGGGCCAGGCAACUCUCGGGUCCAACC